rnacentral:rRNA from 2 species
UCGCCUGUUUUUCAAAAACAUUUCUAAUAGAAAUAAUUAUUAGUAAAAUCUGCUCAAUGAAAUUUAAAUAGCCGCAACUUUGUUGUGCUAAGGUAGCAUAAUCAUUUGUUUUUUAAUUAAAAACUAGAAUGAAAGAUUUAACAUUUUUAUCUCUAUCAUUAAUAAAUUUAUUUAAAUUUAUCCUAAAUAUAAAAAGAUAUUUAUAAAAUAAAAAGACGACAAGACCCUAUUGAACUUAACUAAGGUUAAACUGGGGCAGUUAAUUAAUUAAUAUUUUAAUUCUUUUUAAUAAAAAAAAAUAGCUAAUAAAAUUAAUAUAAUCAAGUUACCAUAGGGAUAACAGCGUAAUAAUUUUCUUAAGCUCUUAUUUAAAAAAUAGUUUGCGACCUCGAUGUUGAAUUAAUUACCUAAUAAAUGCAACAAUUUAAUAAAGGAAGUCUGUUCGACUUUUAAUUAAUUACAUGAUCUGAGUUCCAAACCGGA